rnacentral:SRP_RNA from 1 species
UUGUCAAGGAGGGGCUUCCUCUGUAUAAAAAGGCCUUCAAGUCUUCAGGGACAUCCUGACCGGCCGCCAUGUAAUAUCUUCUUGUGAACCUCGUCAGGUCCGAGAGGAAGCAGCGAUAAGCAAUGCAAGGUGUGUCGUGGAUCGAUCCCGGUCAGGAUGUCUCUGGAGACUUUUACAA